rnacentral:rRNA from 1 species
AGUGAACGCUGGCGGUAGGCCUAACACAUGCAAGUCGAACGGCAGCACAGUAAGAGCUUGCUCUUACGGGUGGCGAGUGGCGGACGGGUGAGGAAUACAUCGGAAUCUACUUUUUCGUGGGGGAUAACGUAGGGAAACUUACGCUAAUACCGCAUACGACCUACGGGUGAAAGCAGGGGAUCUUCGGACCUUGCGCGAUUGAAUGAGCCGAUGUCGGAUUAGCUAGUUGGCGGGGUAAAGGCCCACCAAGGCGACGAUCCGUAGCUGGUCUGAGAGGAUGAUCAGCCACACUGGAACUGAGACACGGUCCAGACGCCUACGGGAGGCAGCAGUGGGGAAUAUUGGACAAUGGGCGCAAGCCUGAUCCAGCCAUACCGCGUGGGUGAAGAAGGCCUUCGGGUUGUAAAGCCCUUUUGUUGGGAAAGAAAAGCAGCAGGUUAAUACCCCGCUGUUCUGACGGUACCCAAAGAAUAAGCACCGGCUAACUACGUG